UGUCUGGAAUAAUACGCCGAAAGGGGUACUAAUACCGGAUAUCUUGCUUUUCAUAAGUUAUGCAAGCAAAAGGUGGCCUCUAGCGAUAUGCUACUGCAUGAAGAGGGGUCUGCGUACCAUUAGCUAGUAGGUGGGGUAAUGGCCUACCUAGGCGACGAUGGUUAGCGGGUCUGAGAGGAUGAUCCGCCACACUGGCACCUGGAACACGGGGCCAGACUCCUACGGGAGGCAGCAGUGAGGAAUAUUGCGCAAUGGGGGAAACCCUGACGCAGCGACGCCGCGUGAGUGAAGACGUUAAUUUCGGUAUGUAAAGUUCUUUUAUUAAGGAAGAAUAUCACGGAUAGGAAAUGAUCUGUGAGUGACGGUACUUAAUGAAUAAGCCCCGGCUAACUAUGUGCCAGCAGCUGC
rnacentral:rRNA from 1 species